rnacentral:rRNA from 1 species
UACGGCCAUAACACGUUGAAACACCAGGUUCCUCUACAAUCCCCAAAGUUAAGCAACGUCGAGCCUGAUCAGUACCUAGAUGGGUGACUGCUUGGGAAUACCAGAUGCU